rnacentral:tRNA from 4 species
GGGCGCUUAGCUUAGCUAGGUAGAGCGACGGGCUCUUAACCCGUAGGCCAGGGGUUCGAACCCCCUAGCGCCCGCCA